UACGAAGGGGGCUAGCGUUGUUCGGAAUUACUGGGCGUAAAGCGCGCGCAGGCGGUCUUCCAAGUCAGUGGUGAAAGCCCGGAGCUCAACUCCGGAACUGCCAUUGAAACUGUAAGACUUGAGGAUGAGAGAGGUGAGUGGAAUUCCCAGUGAGAGGUGAAAUUCGUAGAUAUUGGGAAGAACACCGGUGGCGAAGGCGGCUCACUGGCUCAUUACUGACGCUCAGGCGCGAUAGCGUGGGGAUCAAACAGG
rnacentral:rRNA from 1 species